AGGCUGAGAUCUGAACAUCAUGGUUCAAAACCAGCCCAGGGAGGAAAGUCCUCAAGAUUCUUAUCUCCAAUUAUCCACCAGAAAACCGGAAGUGGCACUGUGGCGCAAGAGGUAGAGAGCCGGCCUUGAGCCGUAGAGCUCAGGAACAGCACCCAGGCCCAGAGGUCAAGCCCCACAACUGACAAAAAAAAAAAAAAAAAAACAA